rnacentral:rRNA from 1 species
CAAUAGCGUAUAUUAAAGUUGUUGCGGUUAAAAGCUCGUAGUUGGAUUUCUGCCGAGGACGACCGGUCCGCCCUCUGGGUGAGUAUCUGGCUUGGCCUGGGCAUCUUCUUGGAGAACGUAGCUGCACUUGACUGUGUGGUGCGGUAUCCAGGACUUUUACUUUGAGGAAAUUGCAGUGUUUCAAGCAGGCAUGCGCCUUGAAUACAUUAGCAUGGAAUAAUAAGAUAGGACCUCGGUUCUAAAAUGUUGGCUUCUAGAGCUGAGGUAAUGAUUAAUAGGGAUAGUUGGGGGCGAUUCGUAUUUAACUGUCAGAGGUGAAAUUCUUGGAUUCGUUAAAGACGGACUACUGCGAAAGCAUUUGCCAAGGAUGUUUUCAUUGAUCAAGAACGAAAGUUAGGGGAUCGAAGACGAUUAGAUACCGU